rnacentral:rRNA from 1 species
AGUGAACGCUGGCGGUAGGCCUAACACAUGCGAGUCGAACGGCAGCACAGUAAGAGCUUGCUCUUACGGGUGGCGAGUGGCGGACGGGUGAGGAAUACAUCGGAAUCUACUUUUUCGUGGGGGAUAACGUAGGGAAACUUACGCUAAUACCGCAUACGACCUACGGGUGAAAGCAGGGGAUCUUCGGACCUUGCGCGAUUGAAUGAGCCGAUGUCGGAUUAGAUAGUUGGCGGGGUAAAGGCCCACCAAGGCGACGAUACGUAGCUGGUCUGAGAGGAUGGUCGGCCACACUGGAACUGAGACACGGUCCAGACUCCUACGGGAGGCAGCAGUGGGGAAUAUUGGACAAUGGGCGCAAGCCUGACCCAGCCAUACCGCGUGGGUGAAGAAGGCCUUCGGGUUGUAAAGCCCUUUUGUUGGGAAAGAACAGCAGCAGGUUAAUACCCCGCUGUUCUGACGGUACCCAAAGAAUAAGCACCGGCUAACUUCGUG